CGAAAGUGGUGACGUGGGGAGGCGCUUCCGUCGUUGUGGCACUCUUCCUCAACCUCCAUCUCGAUGUCGUUCAACUGGCUGGACAUCGGAUUCUGCAAAUGUGCCGACCAGAGAACAGUAACCAGAUGUGCCCACCAGGGACGAUUCACUGGACUACCUAAAUUACUAGAGACAUUGAUUUCGGAGACAAUAAAGUGUUCCAUGCAAAGUC